GGGUCAGUAGGUUGGUCGUGCCACCGGUACGUACUGGUCUCACUGAUUCCUCCUUCCUGAAGAACCGUAAUGCCAUUAAUUUGGUGUUGCGGGGAACCAGGACUGUUACUUUGAAAAAAUUAGAGUGUUUAAAGCAAGCUAACGCUUGAAUACAUUAGCAUGGAAUAAUGAAAUAGGACGAUCGAUCCUAUUUUGUUGGUUCCUAGGAUUGACGUA
rnacentral:rRNA from 1 species